rnacentral:rRNA from 1 species
UACGUAGGUGGCAAGCGUUGUCCGGAUUUACUGGGCGUAAAGAGCGCGCAGGCGGUCGGAUAAGUCGAAUGUGAAAGCCCCCGGCUCAACUGGGGAGGGUCAUUCGAUACUGUUCGACUCGAAGGCAGGAGAGGGAAGUGGAAUUCCCGGUGUAGUGGUGAAAUGCGUAGAUAUCGGGAGGAACACCAAUGGCGAAGGCAGCUCGCUGGAACGGUACUGACGCUGAGGCGCGAAAGCGUGGGGAGCGAACAGG